ensembl:ncRNA lncRNA:CR45030 long non-coding RNA:CR45030
UGAAAUGAGAAUGCUGCGACAAAAGCGUCAAAGGCAAGUCAAGCUGAACAGGGGAUUAUCCGCGAUUCCGCCAUUCAGUUGUGAAGCUGAGCACAUGGGCACACACUCGUGUGUGUGUGUGUGAGGUGCAUGGCGCUGUUGCUCUUGAUUUGGACUUGUGUGCCAUAUCCAAUCCCGAUGCCAAUCCUUUGGUGGCUGCAAACAAACAUCGUUCAGGCAACAAGCAUCCAACGAGCAGAGCACACACAACAAAAGGCGGCAGACUCGCAUUACUCGUUGCCAGGAAUAUAUCACGGCCAACACAAACCCUCCCCUGGCCUUCUGGCCAUCUUGUGAUGAGGAUUGAAUGGCAACGACUGCUGCCAGCGGGGAGCAUUCAAAAGGCAAGGAACAGAAACAGGAGGAGAACGAGGAGGAGGUGCCCUCCGCUCUAUAGGCAGAUGCAGGAGGCGCUUGUUAAAUUCUUUUGCAUUUAGUUUUGCUGUCGAUAAUGAUGCUGCGUCGGCAGCAGACUUGGAAACACUGGAGCCCAGCUGCUCCCCAUCCCCGACCAUCGAAGGCACCUUCCUUUUCCACCUCCAAAGCCUUUCAGUUGCCGACAACCAGACGAAGAUGUCGAUUUUGAUGCAUGCUUAUGCUCGCUUAUCCUCCUCGUUGUCUGUCCAUACUCUUGUAGAGGCUAUAACAGAUGGAUCAUGCAUUAUGUGUUGGCUCAUCGUUUGGAGUAUUGGAAAAUAUUCACAUGAAUUGAUUCAUUUAUCAUAGAAUUGUUACAGAGUUUGAAAGGAUAUAUUGAAGACCAAGUUAAAAUUUUGAUUUCAAUUUUCCAAAAAAAAGGGUGUUAUCGAACGCAACUUGCUGGCAGGUUGGUAAUGUUCGAGUAUUAUAUUCCCUUUUGAUUCUCGUUUCUGGAGCCCUUCACUUGCAUCUGCUGCCGCCUGCUCCCACAUCCACAUUCACAUUUACAUCCUCGUUCCUCCCUCACUGGUCGACAUCCAGCUGCGGCAAUAUAUGCAAAUUAUUCCUGGGAAGCUGCAAACGAAGCUUCGAAAAGGAAGGGUUUAAUACAAUUUACGUGAAUAAAGUAACGAACUAUUGAACCAUACGGUACGCCCUGGAC